GAGAGGAGCUUGCUCUUCUUGGAUGAGUUGCGAACGGGUGAGUAACGCGUAGGUAACCUGCCUUGUAGCGGGGGAUAGCUAUUGGAAACGAUAGCUAAUACCGCAUAACAAUGGGUGACACAUGUCAUUUAUUUGAAAGGGGCAAUUGCUCCACUACAAGAUGGACCUGCGUUGUAUUAGCUAGUAGGUGAGGUAACGGCUCACCUAGGCGACGAUACAUAGCCGACCUGAGAGGGUGACUCCGCCACACUGGGACUGAGACACGGCCCAGACUCCUGCGGGAGGCAGCAGUAGGGAAUCUUCGGCAAUGGGGGCAACCCUGACCGAGCAACGCCGCGUGAGUGAAGAAGGUUUUCGGAUCGUAAAGCUCUGUUGUAAGUCAAGAACGAGUGUGAGAGUGGAAAGUUCACACUGUGACGGUAGCUUACCAGAAAGGGACGGCUAACUACGUGCCAGCAGCCGCGGUAAUACGUAGGUCCCGAGCGUUGUCCGGAUUUAUUGGGCGUAAAGCGAGCGCAGGCGGUUUGAUAAGUCUGAAGUUAAAGGCUGUGGCUCAACCAUAGUUCGCUUUGGAAACUGUCAAACUUGAGUGCAGAAGGGGAGAGUGGAACUCCAUGUGUAGCGGUGAAAUGCGUAGAUAUAUGGAGGAACACCGGUGGCGAAAGCGGCUCUCUGGUCUGUAACUGACGCUGAGGCUCGAAAGCGUGGGGAGCGAACAGGAUUAGAUACCCUGGUAGUCCACGCCGUAAACGACGAGUGCUAAGUGUUGGAUCCUUUCCGGGAUUCAGUGCCGCAGCUAACGCAUUAAGCACU
rnacentral:rRNA from 1 species